AGAGGGAAGAACGAGGUGGGCAGGGCACCUGUGAGAGCCAAGCAGGCCAGCGGGAGGCUGGGAGGGCGGGGUCCCCACCCCUCAGAGGAACCUGCUCACCUCUGCUCGCAUUGCCUGUCCGCCUUGCAAGGCCGGCUCUUUCAUCUCUGAUGGCCUGGGGCCCGGAGGCCUGUGGAGCUCAGAGCAUUUUCUAGAAUGCUUGUACACACCAUGAAGAGCGGUCCAGCGGAAGCAGUGGGCAGAUGGCAACACUUAUGGAUGCUGAAGGUCCCUAUGAUCAGGACGGACUGGGAAGAAAGCUCCUUCUUCAGCAAAGUUCGCACUCCCUUCUACCCUUCGGCCCUGCGGAGAAGUGUCUUAAGUUGGAACUUUGGAUCAUUCGUUUUAGAUCUCUCUUCUUUUCAAAUAUUACACAUGUCACCUAGUUGCCCAUUAGAGAGACGGUAUGGAUGGACGUUCCCACAUAGGGCUGGUUCUUCAGUCUGCAAUUUCCUUCCAGUGAUGUCUUCUCCUCAGCACUGGUCAGCAAUCACAUGGUGGUCUCGAGUGCCUGUGGCCUGAAAAGCCUUGAAAAAAUGUCCCAGUGCUGUCCUUUAAACUAUAA